rnacentral:rRNA from 1 species
AUGGACGACAAGAGUAACGUGAAGAAGGAAAUAGAUGGCUCCCUUGCGCCCCGUCCUCGCAAGGGAGGACUUAAAUUCGCACCCAAAAAGCCUCCAAAGAAACCUGCAAAGGUUGUCCCAAAAGCGGAGCCUGUUGAGGAGAGCAAGGAUGAAAUCAUUGAUAAGGAAUUGUUGAUGAAACUGAAGACAUCACAGAGCACUGAUCCCUUUGGAAGAAGACCUAAGGUUGAGAAAAAAGAAAUCAAUACACAGGUUGCAUUUGGGCAAGGGAACUCUUCGUACGCAAGAUCUUUUCCUACGCGGAAGUAUUCGGCAGCGCCAAAACCACCAAAAGAAUAUGUGGAUCCAUGGGAUUAUACCCAUAGCGACUAUCCUAUAACUCUCCCACUUAGGAGGCCCUACUCUGGAGAUCCUGAGAUUCUUGAUGAAGAGGAGUUUGGAGAGAAUUCGGCCAGCAGAGCUCAGGAUGGGGAAUUAACUGCAGCAGAAGAACUUGGAUUAAUGGAUUGGUCCGACACACCACAGUUACUCUUCUUCCAGUUACCUGCGUCUCUUCCUUUACCAAAGCAAAUGGAAUCUGUUGAAGAACCAAAUACUGGCUCUGAGGAGAAUGUUGAACCUGCCACAAGCUCUAAAGUGGCACGUGGGCAGACACUCCCUGGCUCUAAGAUCAAAGAUCUGCCAGGAGGUCUCAUGGGGAAGAUACUCGUUUAUAAAAGCGGUAAAGUGAAGAUGAAGAUAGGAGAUGCACUGUUUGAUGUAUCUCCUGGUUCAAAUUGCAUGUUUGUCCAGGAGGCCGUAGCGGUUAACACCAGAGAAAAUCAUUGCUGCACCCUGGGAGAGGUCAGUAAGCGCGCGGUUAUUACCCCGGACGUUGGCUAUCUGCUGGGCUCUACUGACAAGAUGGAAGAAUAA